CAUUGAGUCCUUCAGACAGUUGAUGUUACCCGCAGUUUACGUGUGAAGAGACGGGCCUGCAGAGUGUAAGUGACUGGCCCGUGGUCACAUGUGGAAAGCGGUGAAGCCAGUCAGUACUGCUUCUUCCCCACCUAAAACCUUGCCAAGCAAGCUGAAGCUGCAUUCUUGAUCUCCCUAUAGGUGUCAGCAAGAAAGCACAGGAGUCAGAAAUGAAGCCUCCCUCCCGCCCCUGGGAAACCUGACCUACGUCCAGCUCCAAAGGCUAUUUGGACAACAUAAGCUCCCCUGCCAUGUGUCAUGCCCUGGGGACAAAGAGGAGGCCAUCUGUUUCAUCCCUGGGGGGUCCUGACAGAAAACCCUCUUGCAAAAGACAAGAAGGAAAUAUACCACCUGCUAACGGAAAUGGGAGCUGGACAGGUAGGAUUCAAGGUUUAUGUUUUUUCCUCCUUUUACCUAUUUUCCAACAUCUGUGCAGCAAGCAGGGUUGUGUUACUUUUAUUAAAAAAAAGGGGGGGGGGCCUGGCUGGCUCAGUCAGAAAGCAUGUAACUCUUGAUCUCAGGGUUGCAAAUUGGAGCCCCAUUUGGGGGUACAGAGAUUACUUAAAUAAAUACAAACUUUUACAAAAAUAAAUAAAUAAAGUUAAAAAGGGAAACAUAAAGAGCUAAUGAAAGGAUGCUUUUGUGUUGAGCUACAAUUCGCAGGACAAGCUCCCAGGCUCCUGGUUCCAGGGGACUGGGCUAGGCAUUUUGCGGGGGAAGGUCUUUGGGCUCCUCUGACGAGCUAGCACGGCCCGGGAACGGACAGGGAGAUCCCGGAUGGCAGUGCCUCAGUACCCUGGUCUGUGAGCUUCUCCAGGCUGCUCAGGCCCACCCUCUGAGUAUCUGGCGUGGCAGGGCAGCGUCCAGGGCUGGCUUCGUGGUCGGCGGCACAGGACUCUGCACUUAACAAGGGCAUCGCGAUUGGCCUAAGUCUCCGCUAUCGCUCUUCUGAAAUCCCCGUAAUUCCUCGACAAAGGCCAGGCCUUUCCAUUUUGCGUUGGGCCCUGCAAAUCAUGUAGCCAGCCCCGGCAGGAUCCCCCUUCCAACCAAGGGCUUCGGAACAAGGCAGGCCGGGGUCCCAGCACGAGCUCCCUGACUCACCUAUGCUGUGACCUGGAGCAAGCGACUUCACCUCCCUGGGACUCAAGUUUCUUAAGACGAAGAACAAAAAUAACCUCAUAGUGAUGUGAUAAAAGGCGAGCACAAAGUACGUGCCCCCGAAUCGUACUGUAAUUUGUUACAUAAAGUACUUACCACGGGCCCGACACAGAGUAAUCCUCCAGCGGGGAGGACGCUGGUCUCCAGCCAGACGCCCACAGAUCAGACGCCGCUGAUGGACGGCUCUCCUCCCCACCCUGCUUCCUGUGCACGGCUCUGGAGGGCAGAGCGGAUACAAACACCGUCCGUCCCCCCACCCGGACCCGGACCCGCGUGGUUCUUCACAAGCCUCCGGGGAAGGGAACGGCGUGGGCGGCCCGUGAGCGUGGGCUGGUCCCUGCCGCGAUCCAGAGGUACAUCCUG